AUGCACUCUAUGGCAAGUGCCAUGGGUCGGGUGAGGUUCACGUCGCACAGCUCGUGCUCGGCUGUCAGCCUGGGCAGACAGCAGCGAUGCCCCAGCACCACAGCGAAGGGGCACAAGCCCUCAGGACCACGAAGACGACGUCUCCUGGAGCCCUGCGUGUCUCUCCAGGUUCUGCUCACCCUGAUCAGCCUCACCUGGGCCUGCUGCCAUCCGCCCACCUCCAGCCCUUGCCCUGGGGCUGUAUUUAAGCUCCCAGCUCUGCUCCUUGCCCUGGCUGGGUUGUGCUUGGUUGUGCUUUGUGGUUGUCUUUGGAGCUGCUUCAUUGUGAGGGAUGCUCCUGGGGACUGUCACCAUCCUAGAACCAGCCCUGCUUGGCUCCUGCCUUCCUGCAGCUGCUCCUUGGCGUUUUAUCCCCAGGUAUAGAGCAACUGGGGGAAGAUCCUACAGCCCUUUUGGAGACUUCUCUUCAGCAUCAAGAGUAAAAAUGGAAAAAUGUCUGCUCGCCUGUCCUCCCAGCUCCUUUCCUUCCCGCAGCAAAGAAGCUAAGGGCUUUUCCUCCUUGGAGCCUCAAGCACCAAAAGAAGUGCAAAACAGAAUGAAUCACACAAUCGUUAGGGUUGGAAAAGACCUCCGAGGUCAUUUGGUCCAACCAGCCCCUGCCAAUAGCAGGUCCCUCUCACCUGCCUCUCCCCCCCUCUUCAGGAGGUGUUUUUGGAGGCUCCUCCUCCUGCCCUAACAGUUCAGUCCCAGGAAAAUUACAUCCCCUAACGACGGUGCCUGUGAAAUGCUAUGCUUAAUAAAAUGUGUUGCACAUCAAUAAUUUAGCUGCUU
rnacentral:lncRNA from 1 species